GUUACCUACGGGACGCAGCAGUGGGGAAUAUUGCACAAUGGGGGAAACCCUGAUGCAGCAACGCCGCGUGAGUGAAGAAGGUUUUCGGAUUGUAAAGCUCUGUUAGCAGGGAAGAGGAAGGACAAUACCUGCAGAGGAAGCCACGACUAACUACGUGCCAGCAGCCGCGGUAAUACGUAGGUGGCAAGCGUUGUUCGGAAUAACUGGGCGUAAAGGAUGCGUAGGCGAUUAAACAAGUUAUAUGUUAAAUAUAUAGGCUUAACCUGUAGAAAGCAUAUAAAACUGUUUAACUAGAGUGCAGAAGA
rnacentral:rRNA from 1 species